UUUUCCCAAAUCUGUAAACACAAAACUCUACAAAUCUGUAGCAAUAGCAAACACUGCAUUCAAAACUGUUAUUGCUUUCCAUGUUUGUUUUCUUUUGCAUCAAAAUGACACACGUCAUAUGAAUAGAUCUGUCUACCAACCAACAACACACUGAUGUGCUCAACACAAAACACUGAAUAUCCCAGCAGUAGGUUUAUGAUGUGCUCAACACAAAACACUGAAUAUCCCAGCAGUAGGUUUAUGAUGUGCUCAACACAAAACACUGAAUAUCCCAGCAGUAGGUUUAUGAUGUGCUCAACACAAAACACUGAAUAUCCCAGCAGUAGGUUUAUGAUGUGCUCAACACAAAACACUGAAUAUCCCAGCAGUAGGUUUAUGAUGUGCUCAACACAAAACACUAUGAAUAUCCCAGCAGUAGGUUUAUGAUGUGCUCAACACAAAACACUGAAUAUCCCAGCAGUAGGUUUAUGUUAUGCUCAACACAAAACACUGAAUAUCCCAGCAGUAGGUUUAUGAUGUGCUCAACACAAAACACUGAAUAUCCCAGCAGUAGGUUUAUGAUGUGCUCAACACAAAACACUAUGAAUAUCCCAGCAGUAGGUUUAUGAUGUGCUCAACACAAAACACUGAAUAUCCCAGCAGUAGGUUUAUGAUGUGCUCAACACAAAACACUGAAUAUCCCAGCAGUAGGUUUAUGAUGUGCUCAACACAAAACACUGAAUAUCCCAGCAGUAGGUUUAUGUUAUGAUCAACACAAAACACUGAAUAUCCCAGCAGUAGGUUUAUGAUGUGCUCAACACAAAACACUGAAUAUCCCAGCAGUAGGUUUAUGAUGUGCUCAACACAAAACACUGAAUAUCCCAGCAGUAGGUUUAUGAUGUGCUCAACACAAAACACUGAAUAUCCCAGCAGUAGGUUUAUGUGCUCAACACAAAACACUGAAUAUCCCAGCAGUAGGUUUAUGUUAUGCUCAACACAAAACACUGAAUAUCCCAGCAGUAGGUUUAUGAUGUGCUCAACACAAAACACUGAAUAUCCCAGCAGUAGGUUUAUGAUUUGCUCAACACAAAACACGGAAUAUCCCAGCAGUAGGUUUAUGAUGUGGUCAACACAAAACACUGAAUAUCCCAGCAGUAGGUUUAUGAUGUGCUCAACACAAAACACUGAAUAUCCCAGCAGUAGGUUUAUGAUGUGCUCAACACAAAACACUGAAUAUCCCAGCAGUAGGUUUAUGAUGUGCUCAACACAAAACACUGAAUAUCCCAGCAGUAGGUUUAUGAUGUGCUCAACACAAAACACUGAAUAUCCCAGCAGUAGGUUUAUGAUUUACUCAACACAAAACACGGAAUAUCCCAGCAGUAGGUUUAUGAUGUGCUCAACACAAAACACUGAAUAUCCCAGCAGUAGGUUUAUAUUAUGCUCAACACAAAACACUAUGAAUAUCCCAGCAGUAGGUUUAUGAUGUGCUCAACACAAAACACUACUAUGAAUAUCCCAGCAGUAGGUUUAUGAUGUGCUCAACACAAAACACUGAAUAUCCCAGCAGUAGGUUUAUGAUGUGCUCAACACAAAACACUGAAUAUCCCAGCAGUAGGUUUAUGAUUUGCUCAACACAAAACACUGAAUAUCCCAGCAGUAGGUUUAUGAUUUGCUCAACACAAAACACUGAAUAUCCCAGCAGUAGGUUUAUGAUGUGCUCAACACAAAACACUGAAUAUCCCAGCAGUAGGUUUAUGAUUUGCUCAACACAAAACACUGAAUAUCCCAGCAGUAGGUUUAUGAUUUGCUCAACACAAAACACUGAAUAUCCCAGCAGUAGGUUUAUGAUGUGCUCAACACAAAACACUGAAUAUCCCAGCAGUAGGUUUAUGAUUUGCUCAACACAAAACACGGAAUAUCCCAGCAGUAGGUUUAUGAUGUGCUCAACACAAAACACUGAAUAUCCCAGCAGUAGGUUUAUGUUAUGCUCAACAGAAAACACUAUGAAUAUCCCAGCAGUAGGUUUAUGAUGUGCUCAACACAAAACACUACUAUGAAUAUCCCAGCAGUAGGUUUAUGAUGUGCUCAACACAAAACACUACUGUGAAUAUCCCAGCAGUAGGUUUAUGAUGUGCUCAAUACAAAACACUACUAUGAAUAUCCCAGCAGUAGGUUUAUGAUGUGCUCAACACAAAACACUAUGAAUAUCCCAGCAGUAGGUUUAUGAUGUGCUCAACACAAAACACUAUGAAUAUCCCAGCAGUAGGUUUAUGAUGUGCUCAACACAAAACACUACUAUGAAUAUCCCAGCAGUAGGUUUAUGUUGUGCUCAACACAAAACACUGAAUAUCCCAGCAGUAGGUUUAUGAUUUGCUCAACACAAAACACUGAAUAUCCCAGCAGUAGGUUUAUGAUGUGCUCAACACAAAACACUGAAUAUCCCAGCAGUAGGUUUAUGAUUUGCUCAACACAAAACACUGAAUAUCCCAGCAGUAGGUUUAUGAUGUGCUCAACACAAACACUGAAUAUCCCAGCAGUAGGUUUAUGAUUUGCUCAACACAAAACACGGAAUAUCCCAGCAGUAGGUUUAUGAUGUGCUCAACACAAAACACUGAAUAUCCCAGCAGUAGGUUUAUGUUAUGCUCAACACAAAACACUAUGAAUAUCCCAGCAGUAGGUUUAUGAUGUGCUCAACACAAAACACUACUAUGAAUAUCCCAGCAGUAGGUUUAUGAUGUGCUCAACACAAAACACUACUAUGAAUAUCCCAGCAGUAGGUUUAUGAUGUGCUCAAUACAAAACACUACUAUGAAUAUCCCAGCAGUAGGUUUAUGAUGUGCUCAACACAAAACACUAUGAAUAUCCCAGCAGUAGGUUUAUGAUGUGCUCAACACAAAACACUAUGAAUAUCCCAGCAGUAGGUUUAUGAUGUGCUCAACACAAAACACUACUAUGAAUAUCCCAGCAGUAGGUUUAUGUUGUGCUCAACACAAAACACUGAAUAUCCCAGCAGUAGGUUUAUGAUGUGCUCAACACAAAACACUACUAUGAAUAUCCCAGCAGUAGGUUUAUGAUGUGCUCAACACAUAACACUGAAUAUCCCAGCAGUAGGUUUAUGUUGUGCUCAACACAUAACACUGAAUAUCCCAGCAGUAGGUUUAUGAUGUGCUCAACACAAAACACUGAAUAUCCCAGCAGUAGGUUUAUGUUAUGCUCAAUACAAAACACUACUAUGAAUAUCCCAGCAGUAGGUUUAUGAUGUGCUCAACACAAAACACAAAACACUGAAUAUCCCAGCAGUAGGUUUAUGAUGUGCUCAACACAAAACACUGAAUAUCCCAGCAGUAGGUUUAUGUUGUGCUCAACACAAAACACUGAACAUCCCAGCAGUAGGUUUAUGAUGUGCUCAACACAAAACACUACUAUGAAUAUCCCAGGAGUAGGUUUAUGAUGUGCUCAACACAAAAUACUACUAUGAAUAUCCCAGCAGUAGGUUUAUGAUGUGCUCAACACAAAACACUACUAUGAAUAUCCCAGCAGUAGGUUUAUGAUGUGCUCAAUACAAAACACUACUAUGAAUAUCCCAGCAGUAGGUUUAUGAUGUGCUCAACACAAAACACUGAAUAUCCCAGCAGUAGGUUUAUGAUGUGCUCAACACAAAACACUACUGUGAAUAUCCCAGCAGUAGGUUUAUGUUAUGCUCAACACAAAACACUACUAUGAAUAUCCCAGCAGUAGGUUUAUGUUAUGCUCAACACAAAACACUGAAUAUCCCAGCAGUAGGUUUAUGUUGUGCUCAACACAAAACACUGAAUAUCCCAGCAGUAGGUUUAUGAUUUGCUCAACACAAAACACUGAAUAUCCCAGCAGUAGGUUUAUGAUGUGCUCAACACAAAACACUGAAUAUCCCAGCAGUAGGUUUAUGAUGUGCUCAACACAAAACACUGAAUAUCCCAGCAGUAGGUUUAUGAUGUGCUCAACACAAAACACUACUAUGAAUAUCCCAGCAGUAGGUUUAUGUUGUGCUCAACACAAAACACUACUAUGAAUAUCCCAGCAGUAGGUUUAUGAUGUGCUCAAUACAAAACACUACUAUGAAUAUCCCAGCAGUAGGUUUAUGAUGUGCUCAACACAAAACACUAUGAAUAUCCCAGCAGUAGGUUUAUGAUGUGCUCAACACAAAACACUAUGAAUAUCCCAGCAGUAGGUUUAUGAUGUGCUCAACACAAAACACUACUAUGAAUAUCCCAGCAGUAGGUUUAUGUUGUGCUCAACACAAAACACUGAAUAUCCCAGCAGUAGGUUUAUGAUGUGCUCAACACAAAACACUACUAUGAAUAUCCCAGCAGUAGGUUUAUGAUGUGCUCAACACAAAACACUAUGAAUAUCCCAGCAGUAGGUUUAUGUUGUGCUCAACACAUACCACUGAAUAUCCCAGCAGUAGGUUUAUGAUGUGCUCAACACAAAACACUGAAUAUCCCAGCAGUAGGUUUAUGUUAUGCUCAAUACAAAACACUACUAUGAAUAUCCCAGCAGUAGGUUUAUGAUGUGCUCAACACAAAACACAAAACACUGAAUAUCCCAGCAGUAGGUUUAUGAUGUGCUCAACACAAAACACUGAAUAUCCCAGCAGUAGGUUUAUGUUGUGCUCAACACAAAACACUGAAUAUCCCAGCAGUAGGUUUAUGAUGUGCUCAACACAAAACACUACUAUGAAUAUCCCAGGAGUAGGUUUAUGAUGUGCUCAACACAAAAUACUACUAUGAAUAUCCCAGCAGUAGGUUUAUGAUGUGCUCAACACAAAACACUACUAUGAAUAUCCCAGCAGUAGGUUUAUGUUGUGC